rnacentral:lncRNA from 1 species
CUAGAACAAACUAAACCCCUGUUAGAACCAAAUUUUUGGGGAAAAAAAUGAAAAUUUGGACCGUUAUCCCUACAAGUUCAGUCGCCUUUGUUGAUUUACUAUUUCAUGUGUGGGAUCUAGCAUUCUCUCCAACGGUCAAUUUUCUCAUUAUGAUGAUAUGAAAAAUAUGGCUCAAAUAGGGGUUUACAUAUAUCUAUUAUAAAUUUAAAUACCAACUAAAUCAAAGUGAAAUCACAAUAAACUAAAACAUAGUUUUUUUUUUCAUUUUUAUUCACAUUUUUUAGGCUAAUGACGAUAUAAUGACAUUAUAAUACAAGUCUACUAAGAUAGAUAUAAGGCCCAAAAAUAUAAUGAUUUUCAACAAGAUCUCGUGAUCAUCAUAUCUGAAAAAGUGAUACUGAUUAGACAAAGAGAAUAACCAACCACAAUAAUAAAGCAAUUGUUUAUAAUAUCUAAACAUAACAAUUACACAAGUUUAUGUUUGUAUGAUGUUAUGAAACACAUUUAAUUUCAGAUUUUUACCUUAAUUUGCUCCAAAAAAAUUAUUAAUCUGAAAUUUUAUUUGUAGCAAAUAUUAUUACCAAAGAUCUAGAAUCUCUCUGUUUCCGAUUUGGUAUAAUGAAUUUCAAUUCAACUUUGAAGAGGCGUGAAAAAUCUGAAAAAGAAGUGUGGUGUCGAUGGCUCAAGAUUGUGCUGGGUGUCAUCUGGAAUCUAAAUUCUGAAGAGGAAAAGGGCUUUUAAUAGAUUAUGUUAGUCUUGAAAUUAUUAGAUAUAAAUUAGGAUUAUUGGAUACUAAUAUAUAUGUAUUAGAAAAUUAGAAAUUGACAAAAAUACUCACAGAUGACAAAACUACUGAAUUUUACAUAUUUGGAUGAAUUUUCAAAAAAAAUUCAUUUUUUUUUCAUUUUUAUAAUUUUUUUUGCCAAUUCGACUUGGUUUUAAACCGCAAUUAAAAUGAUCAAACUUAAACCAAAUCGUUUUGAUCGAUUUAGUUUGGUUCAAAACUAUUUCGUUGACCAAGGUCCAUGUUGGGAUGUCAAUGAGUCGAGUCGAGCUCGUGCUCGUUAUGAAACGCUCGUCCAAAAAAGGGCGAGCUCGGCUCGGCCCACGAGCUCGUGGCUCGUGGGCCGAGUCGAGCCCAACUCGCGAGUAGACCUCAUUUUUAUUUAUUUAUUUUUAUUUAUUUUUUAGAACAAAUAUGUAAUUUGAAAAAUAAAAAAGUAAUUUUUUUUUAAUUAAAAGAGAGAAAAAAUAAAUAAGAAAACUUUAUUUUUU